CAGCCGCCGCGGGAAUACGUAGGGUGCAAGCGUUAAUCGGAAUUACUGGGCGUAAAGCGUGCGCAGGCGGUUAUAUAAGACAGAUGUGAAAUCCCCGGGCUCAACCUAGGAACUGCAUUUGUGACUGUAUAGCUAGAGUACGGCAGAGGGGGAUGGAAUUCCGCGUGUAGCAGUGAAAUGCGUAGAUAUGCGGAGGAACACCGAUGGCGAAGGCAAUCCCCUGGGCCUGUACUGACGCUCAUGCACGAAAGCGUGGGGAGCAAACAGGAUUAGAUACCCCGGUAGUCCCUGUCUCUUAUAC
rnacentral:rRNA from 1 species